UCUUUAUAUUGUCCACUUUGCAUACCCUCAGAAGCUAGCCCCGUAAAGUUUUACCAUAUUUAGUUGGGGUGACACGAAGUCGUAAACACUUCUUUAAAAACAAAAAUUUAAGGUUAGAUGACCCGGUUCGCCGAUCAAAAAAUCAAGU
rnacentral:rRNA from 1 species